rnacentral:rRNA from 1 species
CGCUAAUACCCAAUGUGCCGAGAGGUGAAACUUAUAUGGCCUGAGGAUGAGCUCGCGUCUGAUUAGCUAGUUGGAGUGGUAACGGCACCCCAAGGCGACGAUCAGUAGCUGGUCUGAGAGGAUGAUCAGCCACACUGGGACUGAGACACGGCCCAGACUCCUACGGGAGGCAGCAGUGGGGAAUUUUCCGCAAUGGGCGAAAGCCUGACGGAGCAAGACCGCGUGAGGGAGGAAGGCCUACUGGUUGUAAACCUCUUUUGAUAGGGAAGAAGACAAUGACGGUACCUAUCGAAUCAGCCUCGGCUAACUCCGUGCCAGCAGCCGCGGUAAUACGGAGGAGGCAAGCGUUAUCCGGAAUUAUUGGGCGUAAAGCGUCCGUAGGUGGCGAACCAAGUCAGUUGUUAAAGCGUGGAGCUUAACUCCAUAUCAGCAAUUGAAACUGGUUGGCUAGAGUGCGAUAGGGGCAAGGGGAAUUCCCAGUGUAGCGGUGAAAUGCGUAGAUAUUGGGAAGAACAUCGGUGGCGAAAGCGCCUUGCUGGGUCUGCA